GAUGAAGAACGUAGCGAAAUGCGAUAAGUAAUGUGAAUUGCAGAAUUCAGUGAAUCAUCGAAUCUUUGAACGCACCUUGCGCCCUUUGGCUAUUCCGAAGGGCAUGCCUGUCCGAGCGUCAUUGCUGCCCUCAAGCACGGCUUGUGUGUUGGGCCUCCGUCCUCCUCCCGGGGGACGGGCCCGAAAGGCAGCGGCGGCACCGCGUCCGGUCCUCGAGCGUAUGGGGCUUCGUCACCCGCUCUUGUAGGCCCGGCCGGCGCUUGCCGACACAUCAAUCUUUUUUCCAGGUUGACCUCGGAUCAGGUAGGGAUACCCGCUGAACUUAAGCAUAUCAAUAAGCGGAGGA
rnacentral:misc_RNA from 1 species